UACGUAGGGUGCAAGCGUUGUCCGGAUUUAUUGGGCGUAAAGAGCUCGUAGGCGGUUGGUCACGUCGGAUGUGAAAAUCCAAGGCUUAACCUUGGACCUGCAUUCGAUACGGGCUGACUAGAGUGUUGUAGGGGAGACUGGAACUCUUGGUGUAGCGGUGAAAUGCGCAGAUAUCAGGAAGAACACCGAUGGCGAAGGCAGGUCUCUGGGCAACUACUGACGCUGAGGAGCGAAAGCGUGGGGAGCAAACAGG
rnacentral:rRNA from 1 species